rnacentral:lncRNA from 1 species
CUUUAUCAAAAAAAUAUUACAUAGAGGCCUACAUUGGAAUCAUACAAUGUGAAAUAUAUUAAUAAAACAUUGUAUUAGGUAAAUUGUUGCAAGGCAGCAAAAGAUAGAUGUGGCAUUGCAUAUACUUGUACAGCACACUUUACUCAGCCAAGUUCUAGUAGCUCAUAUUCAUCUGAAGAGUCACAGUGAGACUUGAAUAUUGUCAAAAUAUCGCACAUGGGCAGUUCAAACACAUCUAGGUGUUGUGAGGAUUUUCUCCUGUCCCCCUUUCACCCCGAAGACUGGGACCAGAAACGCAGGCAGCAGACAGAGGCAAACAGGGAUACCACAUGGUGCCUUUGGAGAUGAGAUCUAAAAACACCACAGAAC